AUGGCCGACCAGGAGGAGAGCCAUAAGGCGGCCCUGAAGGCGGCGCAGGACAGCGAGGCCUCCCUCCAAGCCGAAUACGAGACCGAGGCGGCGAUCUGGGCUGAGGCAAGGCAAGCGCUGAGCAACGGCUAUGGCCAGAUCGAAGAUUUGGUUGACGAGUACUUCCCUGGUUACUCCGUUGCCGCCAACCAAGUCAUCGAGGCCCGCCGCGACGCGCAAAGGCAGGCUGGAGCUGAGAUCGCGCCGGAUGCUCGCCGGUCGCUUGAGGAGCAACUUCUGGCGAUCCAAGCCCGCCUCCAGCCGGCUCACCGCAUGCUCCAUCGUCUUCAGCGCGUUGCGGCGCAAGUGCUGGCCGCCCUCUGGCCCGGCGAGGUGGUUCCCCGUACCCCCAGUCGGACUGUCGACUGGCUGGAGGUAGCGGUUGGCCGCUUCGAGGCCUGGAAGGCUUCUGCAGCUCGGUCAAGCGCCAGGCGGGCGCUGGAGUUCAUCCAAGCUUGGUAUCCUGGGCUGGAUUUGGCCCAGCUGACCACCUGGUGGCAGGAGGCCAACGAGGAGCUGGAGGCGGUGCGGCCGGCUAUCAUCCAGCGCGCCUCGGCGAUCACCGACUACACCGACACCAGUGCCUUUGCCCCUGAGGUGAAUGAUGACUGCGUUGCUCAGCCGGAGGAGUGGUUUGGGCUGAACGCAGCGGAUGGUGAAGACUCGGCGGAGGAGAUCGACUCCAGUGACGAGGGCGAUGAGGAGGAGGGAGAGUAUGGUGAAGAUGUCGUGCCAGACGGUGGAGCAACGGGCCAGCCUCAGCUUGAUCGUGCCUCCAGCAACGAGGCGCGUGCGAGCGCGCCGCCUGCAGCCGGUGAUGAUCAAGCCGAGACUCGCCAGCCGGCCACUCCUCCAGCCAGCACUACUGUCUCCACUGACCUUCCUGGCUCGCCUGUUGCACCUUUGGCCUGA
rnacentral:rRNA from 1 species